AUCCAACUGACGUGUCCGAAAUAGGACGAAAUAAGAGACUUGGAU
rnacentral:hammerhead_ribozyme from 1 species